AUGGAGCAGCUCGGGGGCAAGAAGUCGAACAAGAUCACGGAGAUCGUGCGGCUGCAGCAGAUGCUCAAGAAGUGGCGCAAGCUCUCCGUCGCGUCCAAGUCCGACGCGGCGGCGGCCAGCACGCCCGCCGUGGCCACGGUCACCGCCGGCGGCAACGGCGAGAGCAAGGCCAAGAAGUUCCUGAAGCGGACGCUGUCCUUCACGGAGAGCCCGCCGUCGUCGGCGGCGUCGGGGCCGCCGCCCAAGGGCCACCUGGCGGUGUCGGUGGGCCCGGCGAUGCGGCGGUUCGUGAUCCCGACCGAGUACCUCAAGCACCAGGCGUUCGCGGCGCUGCUCCGGGAGGCGGAGGAGGAGUUCGGGUUCCAGCAGGAGGGCCUGCUCCGCAUCCCCUGCGACGUGCCCGCCUUCGAGGCCAUCCUCCGCGCCGUCGACAAGGGCCGCAAGCACAAGGACAACGCCGCCUUCUGCUACUGCAGCGCCGAGUUCGCCAUCGCCGCCGCCGACGUCGGCACCCCCAACAACUCGCUCUGCAGAUAA
rnacentral:rRNA from 1 species